GAUUUUUUUAGAGAAAGCGCGCUCGCGCCAAUCCUAAUGUGCAUCACACGUAGCACGGUCAUUUAUUAGCGCGUUUCCCCGCCCGUGUUUUAUAGCGCCCUGGUGAAACCCACUUCUAAAUUCCGCUAACUGUUACCAUGGACAAUAAAACACGUGGAUAGGAAACUAGCUGACGUGACCUAAUGUUUUCAAUGGGAUGAUGGCGUUGAAACCUAGUUGCAAACCAAAUUCUCAAAAACGGCAUGUUUAGCGAUAAUACAGCUAAACAUUUUAGUCA